rnacentral:rRNA from 1 species
AAUCAACGCUGGCGGCGUGCCUAACACAUGCAAGUCGAACGCGAAAGCCCCUUCGGGGGCAAGUAGAGUGGCGUCCGGGUGAGUAACACGUGGGUAAUCUACCUCCGGGUGGGGAAUAACUCGCCGAAAGGUGGGCUAAUACCGCAUAAUGCAGCGGCACCGAAUGGUGAUUAGUUGUUAAAGCGGGGGACCUUAGGGCCUCGCGUCUGGAGAGGAGCCUGCGGCAGAUUAGCUUGUUGGAGGGUAAUGGCCUACCAAGGCUGCGAUCUGUAGCUGGUCUGAGAGGACGGCCAGCCACACUGGCACUGACACACGGGCCAGACUCCUACGGGAGGCAGCAGUGGGGAAUUUUGGGCAAUGGGCGAAAGCCUGACCCAGCAACGCCGCGUGAAGGAGGAAAUCCUUCGGGAUGUAAACUUCACAAGCAAGGGAAGAGCGCGCAGGGUCGAAUAAACUCUGCGUCCGACGGUACCUUGCGUAAGCCACGG